rnacentral:lncRNA from 1 species
CUUUCAAUCAUGUGAUAUGAAGCCUGAAAACUGACUCAGAUCCAGAAAUUAGACACAGGAAACUGUACCUGUCCCUGAAGAUGGAAAAGAGCUGAAGACCCUUUGAUGUCAGCAUCCCAGCCAAGGGGGUAUCAGCGCGUUCCUUGAAGAGUUUGCUUAUAAUCCUUCCAUCUGCGCGUUAGUCCUGGCAGCAGCAAUGACAGCUCCAUCUACAGCAUGAAAACAACGAAGGUAAACAGCCCAGGAGCUGCUGUAACCGAGAAUACAGGUGCUGUGAUGAGCUCCCAUCCCAGACGCCCACUGUGGCCCAGCCUCCUUGUUCCCAGUGCCCAGCUCCCAUACACAUAGCCCUCUCACACUCCAGCCGUCUUCUUAUGAUUUGUCUUCAGCAUCAUGUGGCUUCUAUGUGUUUAAGCUUGAGGCGCCGGAGAGCUUUCAAGGAAAGUCUUGUAUAUUCCAACCUUUCUGGGUUAUUGCCAUUAUUUAUGACUCUACUAAAAUGUUAAAACUGGCUUCAGAAAUGUCAAACAGAAUAAUGGGAAUGGAGAAAUCAGAGACAGAAGUCAGCUAUAACCAGUCCCAUCACUCCUGCUUCUACACGGCAAGUGUGACUUAUUUUCUUAUUCAGAGUGCUUUUGUGGCAA